UUUAAGUAUGGACUUGAAUAUGACAGUCUUUUCACUGAUGUCCAGGGAAUUUCUACCUUACAGUGCCCGGGGAAUGGGAUCUGGGGCUAGCUUUCUUCCUGAGAAAACCAGUCCUGGCUUUUGGGAUAUGGCUUCUCAUAUCUUGAAAGUACUCUGAUAUUCUGAAAGGAUGGUUGGUUGACACUACUGAGAGUCUACAGGGAGUGUGGGAAGUUACUCUUAGCAAACCUCAUAUUUUGGAAAGACAGAACCCAGGAAAGUUUAAUAAUUCCUGUAGGGACAGGAGUGCAGGCUGAGGUUGUUCACGGGAUGCAGGUGCUGUUCAACUUCUAAGUGCGGGCUGAGUUUAAUUCAACCCCCUUGGCCAGCACAGGCCCAGACAGGGCCUGGCUCUUUCUAGUCACCAAGUUGCCCUGACUCCCUGCCUUCUAGCAGAAUAACAAUUCGGGGGCAAUGUAGCGCUUGCCUUAUCUUCUUUGGGCUAGUUGGAGUUUCAGAGCAAAUACAUUCUUCUCUAGCCGGCUUAGCUUAAAGUCUGUUUACUUGUCCCCAGGAUAGGUGAAUAUUCAGAGGGCUCUGGGAAUGAGACCCAACAAACUGGACUUUGGUCCUCUCUUGCCACCAAUCACUCUGAUUCCUCCAGCUCCUACCUAGGGGAAUGUGUCAGCUAUAGAAGCAAUCUUGGCAUGCAGACUGGGGCAUAUCUCUUUAGGAAACUAGGUGCUGGGCUCAAAGUGAGCUGGGUUUAAGGUUUUAGUCCCCACAGUUUGGGGACACAAGCCAUUCACACAGCCUGCAACUGGGUCAGCACCUAGGAGGCUUUCAAAAACUGGGGCUCAGAUUUGUUCUGACCUCCAAGUAAAAGAAAUAAACAUUCUAGAGAUGCCCUGACACUGAGAUGGUGGAAGAGGGGAAGUUUCCUCAGUGAGCUGUAGAACAAAUGCCCUAGAAACUGCCCCCUGACAAGUAUCCCACUCAACUCCAGGCCGCGAUGGUUCAGGCAGUGGGGGGAUUUUGCAGACAGCAUCCUCCUCUUUGCUCCUCUCCCCCACCCCACCCCAACCCCGCCGUGUAAACACGAGGACUUUCUCGAGAGCCCUGGAGAGCCGCUCUAGUGGCUUCGGGGCCUGAAACCCCAGGCUUGGCUUGUUUGAUGUUUAGCAUCCCAAAGCGGCUCCCCACCCCCGCCCCAGCCUGGGAACCCCGAGCUCCGGGGCCGAAGAGAAGGGGAAGCAGUUCUCUCAGCUGGAGGGCGGUGGAUUGGCUGGGCUUAGAGAAGUGGCGAAAACUACAGGACUCCCCGCCCUGAGCAGGGGAGAAAGGGAUCCCGGAAUGAUGCGGUCAUCCAUGAGGAUAUAGCUGGAGUCCUAAAGGCCAAGAGGCAGACGGGGAAAGAAAUGUCACAAUUUGGGGGAAUACACUGGAGAUAGGGGCCAGGUCGGUGGAAAUAGCUUGGGGCCACCGCGAAAACAAGGUAAGCGGUGUCUGGGUCCAGUUAGUGAGCAUCGAGAACGGCGUCCACGACUGCAGGGCUAUCAGGGCCUCGAGGAGACAGCGCUCCGUGCCACUGCUUAGUGCUUGGCCUUUCAUAGGGACGAACCUGCUUAGGAGUCUUCCAAGAGAUUUUUAAAUCCUCCGAGUCUGGACCUGGAAGCUCCAUUGGCGACGUUUGGAUCUGGCUUCGUAGUCUUUGAUUUCGAAAGCCCAGGAAGAUUCGCAGACUUUCAAGGCCGCACACACCGCAUUGCCGGGAGUCUGGGCGGCGGUGAGGACUGAGAAGCUGUCUCAAGACCUGAGUCUCUUCUCAGGCGAUCCCAGAUAAGAGGAGAGAGAGAGAGCUUUUCUGACUUCCAACUCAUUAGGGACCAGAUUUGCUCUCCAGCACAGCAAAAGGGUCUGCCUGUGACCCUCACCGAACUCACUCUUCACUGCUUUAUAGAGACCAUCAGACUCAGGACAAAUAUUCUAGUUUGGAUGCGCAAUUAAUAAUAAGAAGAUACAGGACAGAGGCGGACUGAAUGGCUCCAAUUCUCAGAAUGUGAAAGCGUAAAUCAGAACCUACUAUUUUGUAAAACCAACUUGGAAAACAAAAUUGUCAGAAGCAAAACAACAACAACAACAACAAUAAAAACCAAACCAACAACAAAACCAAGCAAGUCAGGCUGUUUUACCAAUAAAGGGGGCACUGAAUGGAAUCAGAGAUCUGAUAAGUGCCGGGAAGUUGGACUAAGAGGGACAGGAGACUUCGAAACUUCUCUGAAUACUGCUUUGCUGCUGACUUCCAAGGAGAUCUCACCAGAGCUGAGCUGAAGCCAGGACCAUAGUGUUAUUGACAUUACCCCCAGAGACAUGAAGAAACAUCUGCUGCCCCUAGAUAUGAAACCAACACAGACCAAACCAACUGUCAGUACUGCAAGUGGUCCACCCACCAAAGAGAUGGAACUCAACGUGGUAGAAUAGAAGCUGAGACAUGUGGACUUGACAGACUUGAGACUCGGCUAUUCAUCCCAGCUCUGAGAGCCCAUGCAGCUCAUUGAGCCUUCGCGACUCCUGGUUUUACUUUCAGCAAAAUGGAGAUAUUAAGGCUCCAGCAAGAAUUCCAUCUCUGUCUGUUUUAUUCCCACUGAAGAGAAAAAUGACUUUAAUGGCAACAACAAAUGCUUCACUUGUUAGCCUUUCUGUUCCCGACCCUGACACAAAUAAACUAAUAUUCCAUCUACCCGGCACCGGCCUGAGCUCUGGGAUCAGUACACGUCAACCUGAACCCGGAAGAGUUCCAAGUAUCUUUCCCCUUCUCUGUCAGGUUCGUGUUACCCUGAACCUGUGAGCUCAGAAGGAAUUUUCUGGUUUUCGGGAGACGGCAGCCAUUCAUCAUAGCUCUCCACCACUGACUGACUGAGAGUCAAUUAUCAUCAAACAUCCAUCUGCCCAUGAUGCUAAUUAUUCCUACUCCAUGAUUGAGGAUUUGGAGUCGGAGACUCACCUGCAAUAUUUGGAAUACCAGUGGAGAUCCAUAUCAACAUGGAAUUUAUACAGCAGCUGGUGCCAGUCACAGCUAAUGAUGAAACUUCAGCUUAAUAAAAAGACCCCCAACUGAGUACAACCAUCUCGAAGAAAGUGUACUUAUCAAACAGCUUUCAAUCAGUUCAAGAGAGACACCUUAAUUGUGAAGAGCAAGAACCGCACAGCAGUUGUCACCAUGCCAACUUCAGAUCAAUGGCACUUCCACUGCUCUUGGUACAUAUAGCCUUGCCUAUGUCCUUAACUGCACCAACAUCCUUCCUGUUGGGAUGAGAUCUUGUCAGCUGCUAGCGUGUGAUGAUGCCUUCGUUCAUUACAUUACUAUACCCCUUAGCAAAAUUUAAACGUGUAAUGAUAAAGGUCACUACCUUUUCCUUUAAUUAAGACCUCUAUUUCUUGUUACCAGAAACAAGUGCCUAUGACAUUUUGUAUUUUCAGAAAUUAUCCUGUUGAAAUAAAGCUACACAAACAAAAUAAAA
rnacentral:sRNA from 1 species